UACAGAGGUCUCAAGCGUUGUUCGGACUCAUUGGGCGUAAAGGGUGCGUAGGCGGCGCGGUAAGUCGGGUGUGAAAUCUCGGAGCUUAACUCCGAAACUGCAUUGGAUACUAUUCGGCUUGAGGUCUGGAGGGGGGACUGGAAUUCUCGGUGUAGCAGUGAAAUGCGUAGAUAUCGAGAGGAACACCAGUGGCGAAGGCGAGUCCCUGGACAGAUCCUGACGCUGAGGCACGAAAGCUAGGGGAGCAAACAGG
rnacentral:rRNA from 1 species